rnacentral:lncRNA from 1 species
AGGCGCUGAGAGGCAAGCCACCGGCACUCGGCGCGCAGGGCCCCGGGCACCCUCGGACCCCGUGCGGAUUUCGAGACAAGGGUCCAGAGAUAGCGGCGGCCGCCCCCAACCCGGGCCAGAGGCAGAGCCCAGGCGUGCGGUGCUUCUCGGGAACACUGGCCCUGCUACCAGAGCCGCAGGAUCCCCCAUGAGUGCCUGUGAAGGGAGUCCUGGAUAGUGAGGCCCUGGCUGGUCCAGGGGUGGGUACUCCGCCAUGCCACCCAUCCUCCAGCGCCUGCAGCAGGCCACCAAGAUGAUGAGCCGCCGGAAAAUCCUGCUGCUGGUGCUAGGGUGCAGCACCGUAAGCCUUCUCAUCCACCAGGGGGCGCAGCUCAGCUGGUAAGGGGGCGGGGCCCCAGGGGGGCCGGAGCUCCCCUCCCCAUUCUUCCACCUGCUAGAAGGGUCCUGCUAGGCUUUGCUCCUCCCCUCUAUUCUGAAAGUGCUUUCCCUUUAGGGCCACACAGCCUCCCUGGACAGGGACUGCUCUUCAAUGAAAGGGCUGAGUGACUUGCUCAAAGUUACAGAAUCAGUUAGCUGAGAUCCGAAUCCAGCUCAACUCCCCACAGCAUGCAGCUAAGCAUUUCCCCAGUGGAAACAACUUCUCACAACUUCCGUAGUGCUGGGCAAGGCCAAGUCCCC